UUUAAAUUCUCACAAAGCUAGCACGUUUUCCAGAAGAGAGAUUUUUUUUUGUUUGUUUUUCAUCAGAAUCUUUUAACGCAUUCUUAAUCUUGGCAUUAUAAAGAAUAUAAAUAUAAAAAUAAUAUUAUUAUUUUCCCACAGAUAUAUACAGAGAAGACUCCUUUGAUAUGAUUUGGGAAAACAUAUCUGUAUUUAAUUGCAGUUUAUCCACAACAGUGUCUUAGGAGUUCUUCCUUCUUCAGUCUUCAGUUUUACCUAAGUUUUCUGUCAUCUGUCUCAUUUUCUUAUCCCAAUGCAAGUACUGUUAAUAUCCUAUUUUUAAUAGCUAACUGCUAUUUUUCCUUCCAGAAUGUAAUGCUAAGAAGUGAUAAAUAUUUCAUCUCGCAGUGAACAAACAAAAACUCCAGGAAGGUCUCACAGUCAGCCUAGAUGUGUUUUCCAAUUCUGUAUUGAGACUGCCACUUCAGUCUUUGAAGAAGCUGACCUAUUCAACCUAGUUAGUGUAAUACUCUGAUUCAUUCGACUUACAGUAUUACAGUAUCUUUCUCUUACAUGAGAACUGCGUCCAGUUCUGGAGCACCCAAUACAAGAAGGACAUGGAGUUGUUGGAGCAGGUCCAGAGAAGGACCAUGAAGAUAACCAGAGGGCUGGAGCACCUCCCUGUGAGGACAGGCUGACAGAGUUGGAGUUGUUCAUCCUGGAGAAGACCACUUGAAAUGGCCUUCCCGUACCUGAAGGGGAGCUGCAGGAAAGCUGGGAAGGGACUUUUUUAAGGGCAUGUAGUGUCAGGACAAGAAGAAAUGGUUUUAAACUGGAAGAGAGUAGAUUUAGACUAGAUAUUAGGAAGAAAUUCUUUACUUUGAGGGUGAUGAGACACUGGAACAGGUUGUCCAGUGAGGCUAUGGAUGCUUUGUCCCUGGAAGCAUUCAAGGCCAGGCUGGACUUGUCUUAGAGCAACCUGGUCUAAAGGGAGCUGUCCUUUCAACACAAACCAUUUUAUGAUUCUAUUAUGCUAUGAUUCUAUGAACUGAAAACAACUUUGAAACAUUUUAAGCAUUGUUAAUGCCUGUGGUUACGGCAGUUUCAGUAGUUUUUACUACCAAAAAUUUAUCCCUAAAUGGGCUGGAAGUAGCUGGUGCCCCAGAAAAGAUAAGUCGGAAGAAGAAGAAGAAAGUAUAUUUUAAUUUUAUGCUGGUCGUAGGUAGAGGGAUAGUUAAGAAUAAAUUGUAAAUAGUGUAAUAGUACCCUGUGAAUGCUGUAACCUAACCAAUAGAUAAGAUUUGCAGAAGCUCAUAGCCUUUCAAAUUAAAGACUUCAGCACUGCAUAAAACUGGAGCCUUAACCUCCAGUUUUUGUGACAUUUUUACAACUGUUUUGUUUGCAUGUCCUUAUUCCUUUAAUCUCCCAUUAUCUUCCUCCUACCCAAAGCAAACUUGUAGAAGACCAUCCUCCAUGUUUACAUACCAGUAGUAUCUGAUGCCCUGGAAGUUCUUGCUCCCCAGGAUUUGAAAAUAUAUAAUUUGAGGAAUAAUACAACACCACGACAGAAACUCC
ensembl:lncRNA